rnacentral:rRNA from 1 species
AUUGAACGCUGGCGGCAGGCCUAACACAUGCAAGUCGAACGAGUGGCGGACGGGUGAGUAAUGUCUGGGAAACUGCCUGAUGGAGGGGGAUAACUACUGGAAACGGUAGCUAAUACCGCCUACCAUCAGCUGUGCCCAGAUGGGAUUAGCUGUUUGGUGGGGUAACGGCUCACAAGGGCGACGAUCCCUAGCUGGUCUGACAGAAUGACUAGCCACACUGGAACUGAGACACGGUCCAGACGCCUACGGGAGACAGCAGUGGGGAAUAUUGCACAAUGGGCGCGAGCCUGAUGCAGCCAUGCCGCGUGUAUGAAGAAGGCCUUCGGGUUGUAAAGUACUUUCAGCGGGGAGGCGUUACCCGCAGAAGAAGCACCGGCUAACUCCGUGCCAGCAGCCGCGGUAAUUC